rnacentral:lncRNA from 10 species
UAGAGAUGGAGUCUUGCUAUAUGGCCCAGCUGGUAAUGCCUAGAUUCUUGAGUCCCUCCCUGGCUCAUCCCUGGGAGCAGCACUGAACCCCUUGUCUGACACCUGUCUGGAAAUGGAGCCUGCACAUUGACCCUAGAUGCUUGCAGCUUGGUCCAGGAGGCCAGCAGGACCAGAGAGAAGACCACAGCGACACAUGGGGAUGGCUGUCCCACAGGCAGAAAUGAGCAGCCGGGAGGAAGCCCAGGCAGCCAGCCACCCAGCUCCCUCCACAUCGUGGCCCUAGAACGGAGUCUUGAAGAAUAAGAAGCCACAGCUUGUCAGGGAAUCAGGCUGGAAAAAUGUUAUGAGACUGAGUAAGACCAGAGAUUCCUCAGCAGUGCCUGGAGAAGACCAGGAGAGGAAGCAGAAGACCCUCCUCAAAGAAGCAGCCUUCACCUCCAGACCUCCCAGCGGGACUUAGACAAUGGGGUUAGGCAGUCACAUGUCUGCACGUGGAAACUUUCUGGGACUGUGCUUGGAUCCUGGCUCUGCCUUUUACUAGCCAUGUGACCUUGGGAAAAUCACUUGACUUCUCCGUGCAGGAUUCCUCAUCUGUAAAAAUGGUCUAAGAUUAGGAGCCACCUCAAGGUUGUUGUAGGAAUUAAAUUAAUUCAUGUUUAUAAAGUGCUUUGAACAGCGUUUGGCACAUGGUAAGUGCUAUGUGGUAAGUGCUGUCUAUUGAUUACAUAAAUAAAAGUGAUC